ACAGAGGGGGCAAGCGUUGUUCGGAGUUACUGGGCGUAAAGGGCGCGUAGGCGGCCUGCUAAGUCGAACGUGAAAUCCCUGGGCUCAACCCAGGAACUGCGUCCGAUACUGGUUGGCUUGAAUCCGGGAGAGGGACGUGGAAUUCCAGGUGUAGCGGUGAAAUGCGUAGAUAUCAGGAAGAACACCCGUGGCGAAGGCGGCUCUCUGGGACGGUACUGACGCUGAGACGCGAAAGCGUGGGGAGCGAACAGGA
rnacentral:rRNA from 1 species